ACACGCAUGACACACUGCAUAUCAAUAAGCGGAGGAAAAGAAACUAACAAGGAUUCCCCUAGUAACGGCGAGUGAAGCGGGAAGAGCUCAAAUUUGAAAUCUUAAAGGGUUUCCCUUUACGAAUUGUAGUUUAAAGAAGUGUUUUCUGUUGGAGUUUCGGUAAAAGUUCUUUGGAAUAGGACAUCAUAGAGGGUGAGAAUCCCGUAUUUGACCGUUACUUUCCAGCUGUGUGAUACACUUUCAAAGAGUCGGAUUGUUUGGGAAUGCAGUCCAAGAUGGGUGGUAAAUUUCAUCUAAAGCUAAAUAUUGGCGAGAGACCGAUAGCGAACAAGUACCGUGAGGGAAAGAUGAAAAGAACUUUGAAAAGAGAGUUAAACAGUACGUGAAAUUGUCAAAAGGGAAGCGUUUGACACCAGUGUUGUUUAGUUGAAAAUCAAUUCAAUAAUUUUUGAUUUUAAGUAGUAUUGACUUCAUCAGCUUGCUGCUUUCUUUUCCGGAAAUUAUUGAAUGCACUUUUCAGUUAACAAGUCAACAUCAAUUUCUUUUGUUGUAAAAGGGUAAGAGGAAGGUGGCUUACGCUUCGGCGUAAGUGUUUAUAGCCUUUUACCUCUGCAAUCGGAGAGAUUGAGGACAGCAGCGUAGACUCCUUCGGGGGUUAGAUACACUUGUGCUAAGCUAUAGCCUUGUAUAGACAACUUGUUGACUAUGCUCAGUCAUGUAGCUUACUCGCUUGUGCUAUUUUACCUACGCUUAGGAUGUUGAGCGCAUGUCUCUCUCU
rnacentral:rRNA from 1 species